AAUCCAUUAUGUGGACAGUCUCGGACCAACCUCUUAAACCUCUCCCAGGCAUCGCUAAGCAAUUCGUCCAUAUCUUGUUCAAAAUUGGUGAUUAGUUUCCUUCGUCU